GACGAACGCUGGCGGCGUGCUUAACACAUGCAAGUCGAACGGAAAGGCCCUGCUUUUGUGGGGUGCUCGAGUGGCGAACGGGUGAAUAACACGUGAGUAACCUGCCCUUGACUUUGGGAUAACUUCAGGAAACUGGGGCUAAUACCGGAUAGGAGCUCCUGCUGCAUGGUGGGGGUUGGAAAGUUUCGGCGGUUGGGGAUGGACUCGCGGCGUAUCAGCUUGUUGGUGGGGUAGUGGCUUACCAAGGCUUUGACGGGUAGACGGCCUGAGAGGGUGACCGGCCACAUUGGGACUGAGAUACGGCCCAGACUCCUACGGGAGGCAGCAGUGGGGAAUAUUGCACAAUGGGCGGAAGCCUGAUGCAGCAACGCCGCGUGCGGGAUGACGGCCUUCGGGUUGUAAACCGCUUUCGCCUGUGACGAAGCGUGAGUGACGGUAAUGGGUAAAGAAGCACCGGCUAACUACGUG
rnacentral:rRNA from 1 species